rnacentral:rRNA from 1 species
GAUAACGGGCUGAUCUUCCCAAGAGCUCACAUCGACAGGAAGGUUUGGCACCUCAAUCUCGGCUCUUCGCCACCUGGGGCUGUAGUAUGUUCCAAGGGUUGGACUGUUCGUCCUUUAAAGCGGUACGUGAGCUGGGUUCAGAACGUCAUAAGACAGUUC